rnacentral:rRNA from 1 species
GAUGAACGCUGGCGGCGUGCUUAACACAUGCAAGUCGAACGGAAAGGCCCUGCUUUUGUGGGGUGCUCGAGUGGCGAACGGGUGAGUAACACGUGAGUAACCUGCCCUUGACUUUGGGAUAACUUCAGGAAACUGGGGCUAAUACCGGAUAGGAGCUCCUGCUGCAUGGUGGGGGUUGGAGAGUUUCGGCGGUUGUGGAGGGACUCGCCGAUUAUCAGCUUGUUGGUGGGGUUGUGGCAUACCAAGGCUUCGACGGGUCGCCGGCCUGGGAGGGUGACCGGCCACAUUGGGACUGAGAUACGGCCCAGACUCCUACGGGAGGCAGCAGUGGGGAAUAUUGCAGAAUGGGCGGAAGCCUGAUGCAGCAACGCCGCGUGCGGGAUGACGGCCUUCGGGUUGUAAACAGCUUUCGCCUGUGACGAAGCGUGAGUGACGGUACCGGGUAAAGAAGCACCGGCUAACUACGUG